AAGAACAGUGAUGAGUCAGUUUACAGACCUGUAAUGAUUGCGGUAAUGAUCGCAUUAUUAUGAACAUCUAAGGGACUGAGUUCUU
rnacentral:snoRNA from 14 species